rnacentral:rRNA from 1 species
GAUGAACGCUGGCGGCGUGCCUAAUACAUGCAAGUCGAGCGAACAGACGAGGAGCUUGCUCCUCUGACGUUAGCGGCGGACGGGUGAGUAACACGUGGAUAACCUACCUAUAAGACUGGGAUAACUUCGGGAAACCGGAGCUAAUACCGGAUAUUAUAUUGAACCGCAUGGUUCAAUAGUGAAAGACGGUUUUGCUUUCACUUAUAGAUGGAUCCGCGCCGCAUUAGCUAGUUGGUAAGGUAACGGCUUACCAAGGCAACGAUGCGUAGCCGACCUGAGAGGGUGAUCGGCCACACUGGAACUGAGACACGGUCCAGACUCCUACGGGAGGCAGCAGUAGGGAAUCUUCCGCAAUGGGCGAAAGCCUGACGGAGCAACGCCGCGUGAGUGAUGAAGGUCUUCGGAUCGUAAAACUCUGUUAUUAGGGAAGAACAAAUGUGUAAGUAACUAUGCACGUCUUGACGGUACCUAAUCAGAAAGCCACGGCUAACUACGUG